UUGCACAUAGAUCGAUCAACCAUUCUGUC
rnacentral:piRNA from 1 species